rnacentral:rRNA from 1 species
CAGCCGCCGCGGUAAUGCGUAGGGUGCAAGCGUUAAUCGGAAUUACUGGGCGUAAAGCGUGCGCAGGCGGUUUGUUAAGACAGAUGUGAAAUCCCCGGGCUCAACCUGGGAACUGCAUUUGUGACUGGCAAGCUAGAGUGUGGCAGAGGGGGGUGGAAUUCCGCGUGUAGCAGUGAAAUGCGUAGAUAUGCGGAGGAACACCGAUGGCGAAGGCAGCCCCCUGGGACAACACUGACGCUGAGGCACGAAAGCGUGGGGAGCAAGCAGGAUUAGAUACCCGCGUAGUCCCUGUCUCUUAUAC